rnacentral:rRNA from 1 species
AUUGAACGCUGGCGGCAGGCCUAACACAUGCAAGUCGAAGGUAGUGGCGGACGGGUGAGUAACGCGUAGGUAACUGCCUAUUAGAGGGGGAUAACUAUUGGAAACGAUAGCUAAUACCGCAUACUAGUAGAUGGACCUGCGUUGUAUUAGCUAGUAGGUAGGGUAAUGGCCUACCUAGGCGACGGUACAUAGCCGACCUGGGGGGGUGAACGGCCAAACUUGGACUGAGACACGGGCCAGACUCCUACGGGAGGCAGCAGUAGGGGAUUUUCGGCAAUGGGGGGAACGCUGACCGAGCAACGGCGCGUGGGUGAAGAAGGUUUUCGGGUCGGAAAGCUCUGUUGUUAAGGAAGCGGUACUUAACCAGAAAGGGACGGCUAACUACGUGCCAGCCGCCGCGGUAAUAC